AGAGGGGGCUUGUGAUGAUUCAGGUCCGAAAGGAUCUUAGCGGAUUUCUGUGAGGCGAUUCUGUCGUCGUUGAUCGCUUAAUGUUGUUACACACACUGAAGCCUUCUCU
rnacentral:snoRNA from 1 species